CUGGUCUCACACAUCUCCGGCUUCCUCUCUGCCAUCGGCGUACACUCCGUCGGCGACCUAAUUUACCUGAAGGAGGAAGACCUGGAGCUGCUCAAGCCAGUCACACGCAGAAGGAUCCUCAGUUGUUACCGGAAAUAAAGCCAGAAUAUCCUGCGUGUGUUGGUCCUUCAUCCUGUGCUGCGCCGGCCUCGCCUGCUGCCUGCUGUGGUUAUCCUGCCGGCUGCCAGAACACAUGGAUAUAUAUAUAGUUGUGUUGAAAGAGCCAGUGUAGAGCCCACUGUACUUUCAUGCCGCAUACCACCACCUCUAUCUACUAAUCCUGCUUCCCCAAUCCAUUUUUGGUGCCGCUUAAGCGUGCGAUCUACCAGUCUGCCCCCAUAUUUACAAUCCAGCGUGCGGUCUGCCUCAACUACAGGAACCUUAUAGUGCAGGAUGAUGAAAAACAAGUUGAAUAGUGCUGAAUAAUGAUUUAUUAUUGAUUAGAAGAUUGUUUGUUCUUAAAAUUCAACUACUGUUUUGUCCAUCAAAAUGACACGUCUAUAGAAAUCUCUCAACAGCAUUGUAGUUAUACAGCAGAAUGAGUUACACUGAUGUUAUCGACUUCAAUGUAAGGAGGAUGUUGACGUCGGUGUUUGUUGAUUGUCCUUUUAUAUAGACCAGUCAGGAGCACUCAGGUGACAAGACAACAUAGGCUGAGGUCUCCGGGGACAGGUCAGGCCAUUACAUAACUUAGACUACGGUGACUGUGGUCAGGUCAUUACUCGGGUCAGGAACAAUCAGGUAACAAUGCUGCAUCAGAUGAGGUAUCGGGAGGUCAGGUCAUUAUGUAGUUUAGACUACAAAUACUGGGCUAGACUUCAAAUACUGCCGUAGACCGCACGCUAAAGUAGCACCCCAUUUUUUUUUACCUCCAUCCGCCCCCCCCCCCCUCCCUCCCGCCACUCCCAUCCCUCCCUCGUUAAUCAAGCAGGUUUGAAAUAGCCAAGGUGUGUCCCGCUACCAUCAUUACUCUGCCUCCCCAGUUUACUGCCUGCCUCCACCUGCACCUCCACAAUUAUACCUACUCCUCUCUACUCAAGACUGUCUCCUCAUGCCUCAUACCUCCACCUCUGUCUACCUAACCUUGCUUCCCCAAUCCAUCCUCCCUUUGAUGGCCAGGCUGCGUCUACUCCACCGCCUAAUCACUACUUUACUCUGCUUCACUUUUCCAUCUCUUGCCCUCACCCGCGCCCGUCUCAUCCUUCCUCUACCUAAGUCUUUUUCAGAGCCAAGCUGUAUCUACCUGCUGUGGCUUGUAUACAUACAUAGUUUUAGUCAGCAUAGUAUAUUUUGAAUAAAGUGUGUGCAAGGAU